AAGACUAUACUUUCAGGGAUCAUUUCUAUAGUUCCCGACUGGUGAAAUGAGUCUCUAAAGUGAUUGGUCGCGCCAACCACGAGGACGAGAUACGGUGUCUUUUCCUGAGCGUGAAGCGGAUGAAGGAUCAUGGGAGUUUUCCCACAGUUCUUCAUCAUUGAUGAUCGUUCCUUUCUUCUUCGGGAGAUAAGGAGGGAAAAGACACGUUCUGAGUGGU
ensembl:snoRNA U3 Small nucleolar RNA U3